rnacentral:lncRNA from 1 species
UUGGGAUUGAUAAAUUUUCAAACUUGUGUUUUAUUUAUUUUAAUUUUGUACCUGAAGCUGUGGAUUCUCUGGUCUUAGGUGCUUGGAACGCUUUGCUGAUAGCUGCAAGUUGGCUGGAUGAUGUUGCUUCUGUUAUUGCUACAGCAAAAAAAAAAAAUCAUCUUAGCUUUAAGGGAAGUGGCAGUCAUUGAAGAUACUCAGUAGUUUUGCUUUCUUUUGCAGGUGAUGAGCAGAAACGUGCCAGCAGGCAUCCUGAUCUGGUGAUGGCUUUCCUUUGUAAAAUUCAUCCAAGGAAGGGAAAAUUUCUAGCAGUUAAAGCACAGGAGAUGGGGCUGCCAGUGGGAACUCCAGCCAUUCUGCCCAUAAUUACAGCUCUUAAAAAUGGGGAGAGCAUCACUUUCGAAGGCAGGGAGGUAAGACGAAUGUGUGUUUUCUGCUAUGGUAUAGUGUCGUCCUGGGAGUCCAGUGAAGGCGGGAGGAUGGCACAGCAUACCGCAGAAAAAGACUGGUUACAAGAGGGCAUUGGGACAAUUCCAGCUGUGGGUGGGUUUUGUUUGUCUGUUUUUUAAUCCUUGUUCUUAAGGCAAGGAUGGGUGAUGGUUUUCUGCUUAUUCCCUCUCAUCUCUGCUAAUGUGUUUGUUCUUCUGCUGUUUCUGAGCUUUGAGUGGCUACUUCUGGUGACUGGCCCUUGUUUUCAGCCCCAAGCUGUUGCUGGAAGUGGCUCCUGUGACACUGGUGCUGUUGCAGGGGUGUGAUUAGAGAAGUAGCUCUGACACAAGUUCAUUUGUGGCUAUGGAUGUAUGCCUGCAGUUUGUUAGGGCUUCUGAGCCUCUCCAUCACAAGUCCUCAGAGCCGACUCCUUGAAUGAAUGGAGUUGAUCCCUGUGUGUUUUAAAUUUGGUGUUUGAGUGCUUGUAUAGCUGUUGUUGCCUCCUUACUCUUUUUUCAGCUCUUAGACCACAGAUUUUAAGUGGUUCCUGUGUGCAGGGUCUUACUCAGAUGUUAGUUUGAAGUGAGAGGCAGAGUUUGCCCUGUCCAUGUCAUGGGUGAUCCGUAAGUGAAGAUCCUAACCUAGGGGAUAGGACUGACAUAUCUUUGUCAUUAGAAUUUUGCAGAGCCUCUUUUCUUUUUGAUACUCCUUAUUACUGGCUCCCAUGACAUCCUGCUAGCAAAGCUGAGAAAGUGUGGGAUAGAGGAGUGGACAGUAAGGUGGGUUGAGAACUGUCUGACUGGCCGAGCUCAGAGGGUGGUGAUCAGCAGUGCAGAGUCUGGCUGGAGACCUGUGACUAGCGGCGUUCCCCAGGGGUUGGUGCUGGGUCCGGUCUUGUUCAACAUCUUCAUCGACGACCUUGAUGAGGGAAUAGUGUCUGCCCUCAGCAAGUACACCGAUGACACAAAGCUGGGAGGAGCGGCUGACACGCCAGAAGGCUGUGCUGCCAUUCAGCGAGACCUGGACAGGCUGGAGAGAUGGGAAGGAAGAAACCAAAUGAGGUUUAACAAGAGCAAGUGUAGAGUCCUGCACCUGGGAAGGAACAACCGCAUGUACCAGUACAGGCUGGGGGAUGACCUG